rnacentral:rRNA from 1 species
UACGUAGGGUGCGAGCGUUGUCCGGAAUUACUGGGCGUAAAGAGCUCGUAGGUGGUUUGUCGCGUUGUUCGUGAAAACCGGGGGCUUAACCCUCGGCGUGCGGGCGAUACGGGCAGACUUGAGUACUGCAGGGGAGACUGGAAUUCCUGGUGUAGCGGUGGAAUGCGCAGAUAUCAGGAGGAAUACCGGUGGCGAAAGCGACUCUCUGGACGGCAACUGACGCUGAGGCACGAAAGCGUGGGGAGCAAACAGG